rnacentral:rRNA from 1 species
GACGAACGCUGGCGGCGUGCUUAACACAUGCAAGUCGAACGGUAAGGCCCUUCGGGGUACACGAGUGGCGAACGGGUGAGUAACACGUGGGUGAUCUGCCCUGCACUUCGGGAUAAGCCUGGGAAACUGGGUCUAAUACCGGAUAGGACCACUGCCUGCAUGGGUGGUGGUGGAAAGCUUUUGCGGUGUGGGAUGGGCCCGCGGCCUAUCAGCUUGUUGGUGGGGUGAUGGCUUACCAAGGCGACGACGGGUAGCCGGCCUGAGAGGGUGACCGGCCACACUGGGACUGAGAUACUGCCCGGACUCCUACGGGAGGAAGGAGUGGGGAAUAUUGCACAAUGGGCGCAAGCCUGAUGCAGCGACGCCGCGUGAGGGAUGACGGCCUUCGGGUUGUAAACCUCUUUCAGCACCGACGAAGCGCAAGCGACGGUAGGUGCAGAAGAAGGACCGGCCAACUACGUGCCAGCCGCCGCCAUAA